GAUGAAGAACGCAGCAAAAUGCGAUAAGUAAUGUGAAUUGCAGAAUUCAGUGAAUCAUCGAAUCUUUGAACGCACAUUGCGCCCGCCAGUAUUCUGGCGGGCAUGCCUGUUCGAGCGUCAUUUCAACCCUCAAGCACAGCUUGGUGUUGGGACUCGCGUUAAUUCGCGUUCCUCAAAUUGAUCGGCGGUCACGUCGAGCUUCCAUAGCGUAGUAGUAAAACCCUCGUUACUGGUAAUCGUCGCGGCCACGCCGUUAAACCCCAACUUCUGAAUGUUGACCUCGGAUCAGGUAGGAAUACCCGCUGAACUUAAGCAUAUCAAUAAGCGGAGGA
rnacentral:misc_RNA from 1 species